AUAUAUAAUCAACCUACUCUUUGUUGAGUGGUUUGGAUGUGGGGGUUUGCUGGCCUGUUCAGCUCCUCUGAAAUACAUUAGCAGAACAACCUUGCUCAUUGGUGUGAUAGCUUAUCUACGCUUAUGAAUGCGAGGGGACAGUUCAGCUUUCUAACGGUCUUUGGACAAUUCAUCAUUA
rnacentral:misc_RNA from 1 species